rnacentral:tRNA from 1 species
UGGGAUGUAGCUCAGUGGUAGAGCAUGUGCUUAGCAUGCACAAAGCCUUGGGUUUGAUCCCCAGCACCCCCC